GUUGAUUGCCUCUAAACCUUACGUGAGAAAGAUUCCAGCAGGGAAGUUUAGUUCUGUGGUGUUCUUUGGUCCCAUCAACUACUCUUUCAUGGCAGUAACGAUUCUGGAUUGGGGAUCAACAGAAGGGGCUGAGCUUGAGUUAAGAUUGGGAGGCCAGGGUAUAGGGUCUCAGAGCAAUUUGAUCCAGAGACAAAACAACGGUCUCUUCUGUUUCAGCCAACCCUUUGUUUCAAAGUAUUUUGAUGUUAUUGAUCCUUCAAGGACGAACAACAAUCUUUGACAAAGUUUCAGAAAAAGGUAGCAGC